UUUUUUCAUCCUUUUUUCAUUCUUUUCUUUCUUUCCUUCCGGAAUGUUUGCUUGCUUUUUAUGCUUUUAUUCAUUUCCAAACUGUAUCUUUCUGGAAUUCAUGCCAGAAUAUUUGAGAGAACAUACAUAAGUACAUAUUAUUGGAUCAAUUUCCAAGAGCAUAGCCUUCACUUAGAAAAUGAUGAUUGGAUCAGUGCGUCUCAUCCUACAAGAAUUGCG
rnacentral:lncRNA from 1 species